AUAUCAAUAUUUAAAAUCAACCUUUUCACGUGUUAGCUUAUUGUUCGGCUUCAUUGAGCAUGGUAUAAAAGGUGGAACUGACCAGGUUAAAACAUAUCGCCUUACAGUGCACCAAUCAAGAACAACGAAAAGAUCAUACCUCAACGAAGAUUAAACGGUUAGAACAUAUCGGCACAACAAACACACGUACAGAGAUGACAAAUAUCGGAAGGAAGCCUCUUGCAUCUCUCUGUAUGUUAUUACUUCUGAUUACAAUUUGUGAAGUACAUAUCUCAGCCGCUCAAUAUAAUGGAGCCGAUAAAAGAGAAGAUACGAAUUUUAAAGUUGUCGCGAAUGAUGAUGAUGUUAUGCUACAACGUGGGCGACGAAGUUGGGUUAAUCGUCUUCCACCACCACCAGGAGCAGAUUAAACUAAAUAUCGGAACGUUAAUAUCCAAUUAUAAAUCACUUUACUAUGUUUAUCAACAUAGUAAACAUGUGUUUUAAUUGAUUGACAGAUAAAUCAAUUGAUUGAUUGAUAUUUGAUUAAAUAACAUGGUCGUUUAUUGACUGAAUCGUUCACUUGCGGAAAGGUCUCGUCGUGUAUUAUCAAUAAAGUUAAAGGCAAUUUAACUAA